CAAAAACAUCGCCUUUUGAAUUAUAUAAAAGGUAACGCCUGCCCAGUGACAUCAUGUUCAACGGCCGCGGUAUUCUGACCGUGCGAAGGUAGCGUAAUCACUUGUCUUUUAAAUAAAGACUAGUAUGAAUGGCACCACGAGGAUUUAGCUGUCUCCUUAAACUCAUCAGUGAAACUGAUCUCCCCGUGCAAAAGCAGGGAUAGACACAUAAGACGAGAAGACCCUAUGGAGCUUAAAACUAUUAAGCUGCCUAUGCUAUCUGCUUUAAUAAACAGCACUAUAAUCAAUAGGCCCGGCCUACGUUUUCAGUUGGGGUGACUAUGGAGAAAAACCUAUCCUCCAUGAAGAGACAAGCCUUGAGUUCCCACUCUACGCAUUAGCAAGCCUAACUUUACUUUGAUCCAAUUUUUUGAUCAACGGACCAAGUUACCCUAGGGAUAACAGCGCAAUCCAUUUCAAGAGUCCUUAUCGACAAAUGGGUUUACGACCUCGAUGUUGGAUUAGGACACCCUAGUGGUGCAGCCGCUACUAAUGGUUCGUUUGUUCAACGAUUAAAGUCCUACGUGA
rnacentral:rRNA from 1 species